rnacentral:rRNA from 1 species
UACGAAGGGGCUAGCGUUGUUCGGAUUUACUGGGCGUAAAGGGCGCGUAGGCGGCCACCGCAAGUCAGUUGUGAAAUCUCUGGGCUUAACCCAGAACGGUCAGCUGAUACUGCGGGGCUAGAGUGCAGAAGGGGCAACUGGAAUUCUCGGUGUAGCGGUGAAAUGCGUAGAUAUCGAGAGGAACACCUGCGGCGAAGGCGGGUUGCUGGGCUGACACUGACGCUGACAGCGCGAAAGCUAGGGGAGCGAACGGG